rnacentral:rRNA from 1 species
UCGAGCGCGAAAGUCUUCGGAUGAGUAAAGCGGCGGACGGGUGAGUAAUGCAUGGGAAUCUGCCUGGUAGUGGGGGACAACGUUUCGAAAGAGCCGCUAAUACCGCAUACGCCCUACGGGGGAAAGGGGGGAUCUUCGGACCUCUCGCUAUCAGAUGAGCCCAUGUCAGAUUAGCUAGUUGGUAGGGUAAAGGCCUACCAAGGCGACGAUCUGUAACUGGUCUGAGAGGAUGAUCAGUCACACUGGAACUGAGACACGGUCCAGACUCCUACGGGAGGCAGCAGUGGGGAAUAUUGGACAAUGGGGGCAACCCUGAUCCAGCCAUGCCGCGUGUGUGAAGAAGGCCCUAGGGUUGUAAAGCACUUUCAGUGGGGAGAAAGGUUGUUCAGAUAAUACCUGAAUGAAUUGAUGUUACCCACAGAAGAAGCACCGGCUAACUCCGUGCCAGCAGCCGCGGUAAUACGGAGGGUGCAAGCGUUA